GGGAGGGUGGCUCAGAGGCAGAGCGCACACAUUGGAUGUGUGAGGCCCUGGGUUCGACCCUGCCAUUCCA
rnacentral:tRNA from 1 species